rnacentral:rRNA from 1 species
UACGUAGGGCGCAAGCGUUUGUCCGGAAUUAUUGGGCGUAAAGAGCUCGUAGGCGGUUUGUCGCGUCUGCUGUGAAAACCCGAGGCUCAACCUCGGGCCUGCAGUGGGUACGGGCAGACUAGAGUGUGGUAGGGGAGACUGGAAUUCCUGGUGUAGCGGUGGAAUGCGCAGAUAUCAGGAGGAACACCAAUGGGCGAAGGCAGGUCUCUGGGCCACAACUGACGCUGGAGGAGCGAAAGCGUGGGGAGCGAACAGG